rnacentral:rRNA from 1 species
GCCGGUCUCAGUUCGGAUUGGGGUCUGCAACUCGACCCCAUGAAGUCGGAGUCGCUAGUAAUCGCANAUCAGCAUUGCUGCGGUGAAUACGUUCCCGGGCCUUGUACACACCGCCCGUCACGUCACGAAAGUCGGUAACACCCGAAGCCGGUGGCCCAACCCCUUGUGGGAGGGAGCUGUCGAAGGUGGGACUGGCGAUUGGGACGAAGUCGUAACAAGGUAACCGUACCGGAAGGUGCGGUUGGAUCACCUACUAA